rnacentral:rRNA from 1 species
GAUGAACGCUGGCGGCGUGCCUAACACAUGCAAGUCGAACGGAGAUUACGGACGGAAGUUUUCGGAUGGAAGACUGUAAUUCUUAGUGGCGGACGGGUGAGUAACGCGUGGGCAACCUGCCCUAUACAGGGGGAUAGCAGCUGGAAACGGCUGGUAAGACCGCAUAAGUCGGCGAGACCGCAUGGUUUUGCCGGGAAAUGAGCAAUCAGGUAUAGGAUGGGCCCGCGUCCGAUUAGCCAGUUGGCAGGGUAAAAGCCUACCAAAGCAACGAUCGGUAGCCGGACUGAGAGGUCGGACGGCCACAUUGGGACUGAGACACGGCCCAAACUCCUACGGGAGACAGCAGUGGGGGAUAUUGCACAAUGGAGGAAACUCUGAUGCAGCGACGCCGCGUGAGUGAAGAAGUAUUUCGGUAUGUAAAGCUCUAUCAGCAGGGAAGAUGAUGACGGUACCUGACUAAGAAGCCCCGGCUAACUACGUG